UUUACCGUUGUCAUAGCAACUGCCUACCAAGAUGGCUGUCAGUUACAAAGUUCCUGGAAAUGUGAUGGUAGCUGAAUUUAAUCUACAGCAGUUAAUUUCAG